AAUGAAAUAACUAAUUUAUAAUGUUAAGUAUACUAGUGAAAUCAAUUUUCUUUAAUAAAUUUUAUUUGUUAAUGUAGAUUUAUUACUUAUGAAUGUAGUAAUUGUUAGAAGCAUUUAUUGUUAUUAUUUUCUGAAAAAUGGGAAAAAAUAAUUUGUUUUAAUUCGCUAUAUCCAACGGAUUUCGCUAAGUAUGCUAAGAGGCAAUCUGUCAUGAUCACAUCAAAUGAUGGGUCAUGGGGCUCUCCAUGUGAUAUAUGUUUUUUCCCGCAUAUUAAAGUAUGUGUAUCUGACAAGCCUAAUAAAUUCCCUACUUUCUGAACAUACGGAAUUUUUGUAACAGCUAAGAUCUUGGAAGAAAUUCCCUUUGGUGUUAAAGUUUCAAGGGAUAUAAAGAAUUCAUUAUUUAAUAUUUCAUCACUACAUUCUUCCAUUAUUUUAUGACUAUCAUUGUUUGAAUUUGAUAUGAUAAAUUUUUCUAUGUGUUUGUCAUAUUUUUUAACUAUUAUAUUCAGAGUGUUUAUUCCCUUAAGACCCAGGUUAAUUAAAAUGUUUUCAUCUGUAUUUCCUGAGAAGAAUAUUAUUGUGGGUUCUUCAUAGUGUUUAAAUAUUUGUCUACCUAUAUAUACUUUAUUAAGGGUAUUUUGAAUAGUAACUAAAGAAUUUUUUAAAUGUUUGAUAGCCAUAUCUAUCUGAUCUUUAGGUUUCUUUUUUAGAUUAAAUUUAAUUUGAUUAUUUAAGUUGUGAAAUUCAUUUUUUGAAAUACAAUUUGUCACCCCAUUUUUUAUUCUAAUCGCUGUGCCCUCUAAUUUAAUUAUUUUUGAAUCUAUGAAUGUUCUUUUAAGUGCUCCAAUUGUCACUACUAUGUUGUCCUUGCUUUGAGUAAUGAAUUCAAAGCCAAUAAUGAAAAAGGAAUUCAUUUUAAUAUAUAAAUUGAAUUUUAAUAUUAAGAGAUGAGAGAGAAGAGAAAAAAUUUUUUUUAUUUUUGAAUUGAUGAAAAUAAUGUAAUUAAAAAUAAAUGAUAGUGUACUAGUGUAUAAAAGAAGUAUACUUACAAAAUUUCCGCUUUGAAUUCUGAGUCGACUUCUGAGUUCUUGAUAGUUUUUUUUUUUAGGUGUAUGCCGCAGGGGUAGUUUUUACAAACUGACUUGUGAAGAUUUUUGUGAAUCCUCAAUGACUAAUUUUUAUACUUAUUCCUACCUACUUAAUAUUUGUAGGUGGGACUUAAACUAUUAAUGUGCAAACAUCCAGUACAAGAUUAUUCAUCCCUUAUAAGUUUGAGAGGUAGGGUUAUUUGGGGUUGAGUCUUCUAUGUGAGUUUAUUGGUUAUUGUGACUUGUAACAUUUAUUUUAAGAAGGGGAUGAAUAUUUACAUUUAUUAUGUUUUAGUGAAUAUCCUUAAGAUUUGUGAUUUUGUGAUUUUUGAAUAGAAUAAUAUUACCAAGAUUAUUAUAAAUUGAAUAUUCUUAAAUAAAUGUAUAAUAAUUAAAUAUUUAGUUUAUAAAUAAUUUUAAUUGGUUGUAGAUUGAAAAUAUAUUCAGCAUGGUUAUUAUGAUGUGAUUAUAUUUGUUUAAUGUAUAAUUAUUAUAUUAUUAGUGAGCACUUUCUUUAAUUUAAAUUAAUAUAGAGUUGUUAAAUAUGCCAAGUAAAUAAUUGACUACCACAUCCUCGGCAUCUAAAGAAAUGGUGUUCUUUCUCUAAUGUUUGAUACCAAUGUGUAGCAUUAAGUGUAAUUGUUAUGUUAAUUGAUUUAAAGAUUAUUUGCUUAUUUUCAUUUUGAAGAUAUUGAAUUAAACUACGUUGACAAUCAUUACUAUCAUGAACUACGACAUGCCAAUCAUUAGUAAUUGUAUAGUCUAAGAAUGAGAAUGUGAUUAUAUUGUUUCUACCAAAUAAGUUCCUAUAUUCUUUAUCAAUUAUAUUUAUAUGGGCAUCAGCUAAUGUAUUUCUUAUUGAAGCUAAUUCAUUAGCGUUUCUGAAUUUAAAAGAACGAAUAGGAAAUCCAAUUUCAAGUUCGUCGGAUUGUUUAUUAAUCAUUUCUUUUAUGAUAUCGAAUUGUUUAAGAUGAGGAAAAUCAUUGAUAGCACUAACAUUACUUAGAGCUUUGUCUCUAUAUUUGUUAAAUAAUUUAUUAAUGUGCAUAUUAGUAGAAUAUAAUGAUAAAUAAUUAUGUUCAAUUUUAUGAUAUUAUUUAUAAAAAGUUUUAUAUGCCUAUAAUAUAUAUAUUUUGUUUUAAUGAAUUUUUUAUAUGAUCUAUUUGAAAAAAGAAAGAAAAUACGUGAAAUUAGGUUUUGAAAAUUUUCGAUAUUAAUCUGUGUGCGAUAAUAUAAUUAUGCCUUAAUGCAUUGAAGUGUUCUUCUAACUAUUGUUUUUAUAUUUGAGAUUUGAUUGCUAUGUUUAAACUUUGUAAUAAUUUUUAUUAUUAACAAAAUACGGUAAUAAAUUGUGAUAAGAUGUUUUUUGUGAUAUUUGGAUAUAAUGUUUCCUGGAGAUUUAGAGUGUAAAUAUUUUGUUACAUAUGGCCGAUUGUUUGUAAACCAACGAAAUGGUGAGAACAGUUCGUCCCUAGUUUAGUGUCUAACUUCGUUUGAGACACGUUUUUCCAGUAUUAACAAAAGAGUGAAACAUGUGCAGAAAUGUUAUUACCACAUUGCUGCAUUCAUUUUACUUUAUGUGUUUAUUCUGAUCGUAUAGAAAUUCAAAUUCAAUGGGUAUAAUGUUUUCGUUAGUUUCUAAAAUAGGUGAAGAAGAGUUUUCACAAUUCUUGGUAGUAGAAAAGUUUGUUGUGUGUUUUUUAUGCAUAAUAUAAUUUGUGAUACCAGAGAAUAUGCCUGCAAGUAAUUUAAUACUCCAACCAAAGUGAUUUGUGAUGGAGGUGGAGCAUGACAAUAAUUAACUGAUAGUGUAUUGAAAGCUGUAAUAUUUAAUUUGGAUCCUGCACAACUGUAAGCUAUAAAACCUAGAGAAUUUUUUAUACUAGAAGAUAAAAGUAUUAAAAUUAAUACUGUUGUAAAAUUCGAAAUGUUAUGUGAAAUAAUCAUUUUGUUUGAAGCAAGAAGAUAAUUAUUACCUUUUUUUUAUUGACUAGAUGAGGAUUCUGGGUUGGAAGUGAGUGCUUCUUUUGUAUAAUAGGGUUUCAUGCGUCUUAUGUGAACAACAUCCUUUGUUACUUUGUUGUGAAGUUUUAAUUCUAUUAAAUAAUUGACAUCACUUAUUUUGGAUAAUACCUUAAAAGGACCACGAUAUUUUUGUGCAAGUUUGGGGGAUUUGUCAUGUUCUUGAAAAGGGAAAGUAAUUAAUAUUAAUUGCCCAGGUGUGUAUUGUGUUAAUUUAUGAGAUUUAUCAUAAUUUUGUUUUUGUAUUUCUUGUGCAUGUUUAAUAUACUCAGGAAUUGUAUCUCUAACAUGUUUUAACUCUUGUAAGGAUUGUUUUAAAUCAUAAUCUAAAUUUUCAGGAAUUAAUUGUAAAUCAAUAGUAAUGUCUGCAUUAAAUCCAUGCAAGAUAUAAAAUGGAGUAUGUUUGGUAGAAAUUUGUGGGGUAUUAUUAUAACUGAAUGUUACAUAAGGGAGAUAAUAUGACCAUCUGUGUUGUUUAUUAUCCUUUAUGUAAUGCCUAAGAGUUUGACACAGUAUUCCAUUUAUUCUCUCUGUAAAACCCUGAGAUUGAGGCGCAUAAGAAGAAGAAAAUAUUUGUUUUAUGCCAAAGUGUUUACAGAUGUCUGUUAGGGCAUGAUUCCUGAAGUGAGAUCCUCUAUCUGAUCAUCAGCUGAUCUAGUGGCUUUUGUAAAAAUAUAUUUUGAACUUUGACAAGUGAAUACAAGAAUAUAUUUAUAUGAAUUGCUUGACGGAAGUGGACCAAGAAAAUCUGCAGUAAUUCUACUUAAAGGUUUACAUGAUAAUAAUGGUAUUGGUUGUAAUAUACCUGCUGGUUUGUCUGUAGAUUUCUUAUUAAUUUGGCAUUGAUGACAUGAUUUAAUAAAUUCAGUUACAUCUUUUAUUAAUGUGGGCCAAAAAUAUUUGAUUUGUAUUUUUUUAAUGGAUUUGGUUAUACCCAUGUGACCAGAAAGUGGUGGACAAUGGUGAUUUGAGAUUACCUUUUGAAUUAACGAUUGAGGUAUAACAAUUAGGUUUUUAACAUUUUGUUUUGGAAUGUGUUGUUUUAAGUAUAGAAUAUCAUUUAUUAUUAUAUAUUUUCUAGACAUUUUCUUUAUUUUAAUAGGAACUUCUAAAUUAUUUAGAGCAUUAAUUAUAUUUUGGCAAAAUGUAUCUUCUUUUUGGCAUUUCUUUAUAUCUAUAUCAUUUUCUAAAUCAUUAGUAUUAAUAAUAUUUUCAUAGGGAUUAGUAUUGGAAUUAUCAUUAGUAACAUUGUUUGCAAUGUUAUUAAUAUUUAGAGCAGGCCUGCUAUAUGGGACAUAAAUAGUAUUUAAAUAUUUUUUGGAAUCAUUGGCAUCAAUAUAUUUAUCAUUAGUAAUAAUUUUGUUUGCAAAAUUCAUUACUUCAUUGGAUUGUUUAGUAUUUAUAUUAGCUAAUAUAUUAUAAUUAUUGUCCCUAGUAUAAUCGUAUUCAUAGUUUAUCAUAUUAUCAUUUAUUAUAUUUUUGUUAAUUAUGCCAAAAUAUUUUUCUUUAGUAUAUUCAAUUGGAUUAUCAUCAUUUUUUUGGUAAUUUAUAUUAUUUGUAGAAAUAUUUUUACUCGAGUUUAUGGUUUUAAUAGUAUCAUUGUUUUUAUUAAUAUCGAUAUUAUAGGUCAUAAUAGGUAAUUCAUUGUAGGGUUCAAUUUUGCAAUGAUUGAAAACUACAGCAUCAAUUAUAGUCAUUAUCCCUUCGCGAGAGAGACAAUCAGCGACUAAAUUGUCUUUUCCUUUUUUGAAUUUUACGAUAAAAUCAUAAUCUAAAAUUUUUAACGUUAAGCGAGCUAUUCUUGCUGAUGGAAUUUUUAAAUUUUUAUAGUAUUGGAGACUCAUAUUGUCUGAAUAUACAACAAACUUUCUAGCCCAGAGAUAUUCUCUAAAAUAUGUUAUACCAAAGACAAGACCUAGAAGUUCGAGGGUUGUACUAGAGUAUGUUUUUUCAGCAUUUAAAAGUUUUCUAGAAGCAUAACCUAUUGGUUUUAGAAUAUUAUUGUCAUCUGGUUGUUCGAGGACAGCACCUAAACCCAUAAUACUAGCAUCAAUAGUGAGAUAUGUUUCUUUGUCAUCCGAGAAAUGAGCAAUUACAGGUUCAGAUGUUAAGAUGGUUUUUAAUUUUUCGAAUGCUAUUUCAUGUUCAGAAUUCCAUUCAAUCUUUUUGGGUGUAUCAUGUUUGGUUAAUGAAAAUAAAGGAAAUGCAAUUUUUGUGAAAUCUUUUAUUAAUCUCCUGUAAUAACUGCACAUUCCAAGAAAACUUCGAACAUGUUUAGGUGUUUGAGGUCUAUUAAAUUCUGUAAUUGCUUUGAUAUUACGAGUCAGAGGAGUGAUUCCUUCUUUGGAUAUUUUAUGACCAAGAAGUUCAAUGCUUUCAGCAAAAAAAUUGCAUUUAGAAGUUUUUAAAGAUAAGCCAUAUAGAUCUAAUACUUCGAAUACCCUUUUUAGAUUUGAAAGAGCUGAUUUGAAAUCUUUGCCAAAUGUGGCUAAAUCAUCUAUGAAAAUAACUACGGAUUUAUAUAAUAAGUCAGAAAAAGCUUUAUUUAGUUCUCUUUGAAAUAUUGCACUACUAUUACGAAAACCUUGAGGUAAUCUAGUGAAAGUUAGUAAACCAUGAACUGUAGUAAAAGCUAAUUUAUAUUGAUCUUGUUGAUGUACAGGUACUUGGAAAAAUCCACUAUUUAAAUCGAAACAUGUGAAAAGGGUUGAUCCUUCCAAGCUGCGGAAUAGGUCAUUAGUACGAGGGAGAGGAUACAUGUCUGGUUCAACCAUUUCAUUUAAAUCUUUAUAGGAUACAACUAAUCUAUAUGAGUUUUUUUCUUUUUUUUUUACUAAAAAUGCUGGUGAUGCAAAAUUGGAUUUUGUAUGUGUUAUUAUGUUAGCUUCCAUUAAUUUAUCAAGUUGGGUUUUAAGUUCUUCCCUUUGUGAUGGUGAUACUCUAUGAGGGGAGGAAAAUUUUGGUUGUUUAGCAUUUUCUUUUAAUUUAAUUUGACAUGGUGGUAUUCUAGCUUCUUUUACUCUAGACAUGUCAGUUGUAAAUAAAUGAAUAUAUUUUUGUAUUAAAUCUACUAAUAUAUUGUGUUGAUAUACAGAAAGAUGAUCGGAUAUUUGUAUUGGAGUGUUUUCUAAAUCAUAUAAUUGUUUUUUGUCAUCAUUGGAAAUUAUAUUAAACAAAGUUUCUUUUCUAGUUAACUUAAGUGCAUUUUUACAUGCCUUUUCGAUUGAUUUUAUGGAAAUAAAGUUUUCUGUAUGAAUAAUUUUUAUUGGAAUUUUAGAAGAUUUUCUUUUGUUAUUUAUUAAUUUUCCUGGACACCAAUGUGUUCCAUUUUCUAGAUUAUAUAAAACUAUGGGUGGUCUUAAUCCAUUUCCAAAUACAUAACCUAUUUUGGUUUUGUUACAGAAAAUAUAAGUGUCAAAACCAUAGUGAUUUAUGAGUGAAGCGAGUUGAUCGUCGUGAAACCAAUAAUUUGGGAGUUUCGAUAUAUUAAGUAAUUCACAAAUAGAUUUUAUGUUAAUGAUUUUAUUUGGCUGAUUGGCGUUGAUUGCAUUGAUAAUGGAAUAAAUUCCACAUAGCCCAUCAGAUAAAACAUUUUCACCUAAUGUGUGAUGAGAAAAUACGUUAAGAAAUUCUGGAUUAAUAUCUUUGUCAAUUUUUUUAUUUCUGAAACUUUUGAUACUUUUUAGUUUGGUUUGAAUAUUGGAUAAAACUUUGUCUGAUUUGGGUGGGUUGUUUUGUUCCUCCUUUGGGUAACAUAUUAAAAUUUCAAUAGCCUCAUUAUUAAAUAUAUCAAUAAUCAUAUUUUUUAUUAUGUCCCAUUGUAGUUGUUUAUUAAUCAAAUCUAAGGCAGAAAAAGCUAUAUGCUGGAAAUUUUCUUUUAUAGCAAUGUUUUUUAAAUUAUAAAGGCAAUUGAAUAAGUCUAAAUAAGAUGUAUGAGAAUUGCAUGAUUCUUUAACAAUUAAAUAAUGAAUAACAAUUUUAUUAGAAAUUACUGUGCUUAUUUCGCCUAAUUGUAGUUCAGUAUCUUUUAAAAUAUGUGUCAUGAUUCCAUAAGUAUUUAUUAUUGAUUUAGAAAUUUCAGAAUCAUAAUUCAAAUCAGUUGAAAUACAUUGAACUAUUGAAUAUUUUGAAUUAACAUUUGCUAAAUCUAUUUGUUCUUCUAAUAUAUUAUGUGAUUGUGAUGUAUUAAAUGCUGUUUGCUCAUUGUCUUCAACAUUUUUUAAUACUUGGGGAAAUUUACUGUUCAUAAGAUCUGUUUUAAUUUUAUUGUUUAAAAUAAGAGAUUUUUUUGAAUAAUCUAUUUUAGCAUCAUUGUUGCAUAAAAAUUCAUUACCCAAAAUUAUUGUACUUGAUAAAUUGUCUAUGACACAGGCUGUGAAUUUGAAUAAAGUUUUCUCUAUCUCUAUUUCAACUAUAAUUGUACCUAAUAAAUUUAGAGGAGAGUUAUCAGGACCAGAUAGUUUAUAUUUAUGUGUUUUAUUAAUUUUUGAAAUAUCUAUUAGAUCUGGACGAAUAGCAUUUAUGUUUGCUCCAGAGUCCACAGUUAUUUCUAUGAAUUCAUUAUUUAAUUUAGCUAAAAUAUGUAAUGCAUUUGCCUUUCUAUUUUGAUUAACUAUGAUAAGUAUAGGAUCUGGGUUGUCGAAAUUUGAAAUUAUUGGAGAGCAAGGUGAAUGCAUAUCUCCAAUUAUUGCAUUUGACCUACUGGAGGGUUUUUUGUGUCUUUGUUAUUAUUAAUAUUUUUCCAACAGGUAUUCGCUAGAUGAUAUCUGCCAUUACAAUUUGUACAUAUUAAUUUACGUCUACAGUCAUUUGAUGUAUGUGUAUAAACAUUGCAAUGAAUACAUGUAGGAGGACCGAAAUUUUUAAAAUUUGUUUGAUUGUAAUUUUUAUCUUUUUGAAGGGCAUUUCCACCAUUAAAAUUAUAGUUGUUUCUAUAAUUAUUAUUUUUAAUUUCUCUAAAAGGAAUUGAUGUAAUACCAUUAUCUCUAUUGUUUUGGAAAUUUUGAAAAUUUUGAUUGUCUCGAUUAUUAUGAAAAGUUUGAUCGUUUUGAUAAUUAUUUUUUCUAUAAUUAUUAUUGUUAUUAUAUACCCUGUUAUUUCCAUAAUUAUUGUUUUUAUAAUUAUACCCUCUAUUUGUUGAAUAAAUAUUAUUUCUAUUGUUAUUAUUAUUGUUAUUAUUAUUGUGUUCUUUGUUGAUUCGAUAAUUGUUGUUAUUAUGAAAAUUAUUAGGAUUUGGCCUAUUAUUUAUAUUAUAAUUGAAGUUAUUAGUUCUAAAUCUAUUAUUUGGUGAUUGAUUAUCAGAAAUGUCAAGUUUUGACAGUAUGUUUUCUAUUUUGGAAAUUUGUGAAGAGAGAAUAUCAAAGCGAUUUUGAUUUUGGCUGUUGUUAUGGUUAUUUAUGUUAAAUAAAUUUUCUUUAGCUAUAUUGUGUUGGAUUUCAUCAUUAGAUUGAGCUCUAGUCCCUUCUAGCAUAAAUUCUAUAGAUUCGAAUUUUUUGAUAUUUUUCUUUAGCUCUUGUAAAUUAUUAUUGUCAAGUAUACCUACAUAUCUAGCUAUUCUGGGUUGUAAUCCUUUCAUGAUAGUAUGAACUAAUUCUGUUUGAGACAUAUUAGGAUCUAUUUUUUUACAAAGGGAUUCUUGCUCAUUAAUAUAACUAGCUAUAGAUUCAUCAGGAAGUUGUUUUCGUUUUUCUACCAUGGUACGCAACAUAUGAGCUUGUGAUGUUUGUUCAAAUUCUAAUUUAAGAGCUUCUUGCAUUUCGCUCCAGCUCGAUUUUGGGUUAUCAAAUUCGAAAUUCUCAAAAAAUAAUAGGGCUGUUUCAGUAAGAUAAAUUCCUAAGAAGGUUUUCUUUUGAUCAUCAGUCCAGCCAUUUAUCAUAGCUGCCCUGUUAUAUUUAUUUAAGAAAGCAUUUAUGCUUUCGUGUAAAGCACCAGAAAAUUUUUCAGGUUUACAAAAAGGUAUGCGAUCAUUCAUUUUGUUAUGAUUAUUUUUAUCAGUAGAAUUAUAAAUACAGUUAGUUCGUAGAUAUUUAUUACAAUUUUUAGAGUAAUCAGAAUCAAUGCCUUCCCCCACAAGAUGACGUAAAAGUCUGGCUUUUAAUUCAGUUAUAGAACCUGUGCUAAUUAAGUUUCUAUUUUCUAAUUCUUCCUUAAGGGUAUUAAAUGAAAUUCUUUUAAUGAAUUCUUCUGGGUUUUCAACAGAAUCAAGAUCAUAUAAUUCUUCUUCAAAUAUGGUGCUAAUAGAUUCGAUAUUGUCAUCAAUUUCCAUUAAACUUAUAAGGGAAGUGAAUUAGGUAAUAAAUAUACAGGCUCAGUAUAUGUAAGUUCUAGAAUUGUUAUUAAUUCUAAUAUAACAUUAAUAUUUGUUUGUGGGAAUAGAUAUCCUCUGAUAGUUUUAUUGAAAAUGUGAGUGAUACAGAUUAAAAGUAUAUUCCUAUCUUUUAAAUUAAUUUGUUUGAAUGCUUUAUUGCAACUGUGUCUAAUUAAUAUUUUAUAUUUGAAAUUAGAAGUUAUUGGUACUGUAUAAUCCAAAUCUACUAUUAAUACUUUGAUAGUUUCUUUUAGUAAAUUUCUGAAUAUUUCAAUAUUGGAGAUUUUAUUAUGGGAAUGAGAAUUCAUUAGAAUUGAUUAAGAUUAUUGUAUGAUUGUUCCAAAAUUUGUACCAAUUCUAAUAUUAAUUCUGUAAUGGAUUCGGGAAAUAAAAUACCCCUUAUUAGUUUUUUCUCAAAGAAUGCUAAUAAUGCAUAGACUAAUUUUGGUGUAUAAUUUACAGAUUCUACAGUGGCUUUCCAGACAAGAUUAGCCAAAAUUUGAUUUAAUUUAUUUCUGUUCUCUAUUUUUAAAUCUUUUGGAUAUUCCUCUAAUGAUAAUUUUAUCAUAUAUCUUAUAGCUGUUCUAGAUAUACCUAUAGGUGAUUGAUUCAUUAAGUGUUAAUUUGAAUUUAAAGGCGAUGAUAUAAUAUUUGGAUGAUUAUAGACGAUUGGAACUUUUUUAUGAAUUUGUUCGAUAGUAUUUUCAAACAGAAAUUUUAAAGCAACACUUAACUUGAAUAUAAUUGCAGAUUCGUUAAUAGGAUAAUAGAGUGAUUCAGUAAAAGUACGAAGAAAUUUUUGAAUAAUAAGAAAUUUAUUGAUAUCAAUUUGCAUACGUAAAGUAGUUUUCCAAAGUGCGUCUAAAAUUAUAUGAUAUAAAUGACUUUUGUGUGCAAUUUUUUUAUUGCUAUAAUUUUUUAUGAUAAUAUUCAAUACUUUCUUAGUGAUUUCUAUGAAUUCUAUUUUAGUGGGAUAGUUCAUAUGGUCAAAUUAAUUUCUGAAUAUUUUUGAAAAAAAUGAAAAAGAUUAAAGUUUUGUUUGCUUUAUAUUACCUAUAAGACUAUUGUAGUUAGGUAUUAUAUUUAAAAUUUCAUUAAUUUCGUGUUGAUAGAUAUAAUUCAAAAUCAGUGAAAUCUUAA